UACGGGAGGCAGCAGUGAGGAAUAUUGGUCAAUGGGCGAGAGCCUGAACCAGCCAAGUAGCGUGCAGGAUGACGGCCCUAUGGGUUGUAAACUGCUUUUAUACGGGGAUAAAGUGGGGGACGUGUCCCUUAUUGUAGGUACCGUAUGAAUAAGGACCGGCUAAUUCCGUGCCAGCAGCCGCGGUAAU
rnacentral:rRNA from 1 species